ACGAACGCUGGCGGCACGCUUAACACAUGCAAGUCGAACGAGAGAAGAGAAGCUUGCUUUUCUGAUCUAGUGGCGGACGGGUGAGUAACACGUGAGCAAUCUGCCUUUCAGAGGGGGAUACCGAUUGGAAACGAUCGUUAAUACCGCAUAAUAUAAUUGAACCGCAUGAUUUGAUUAUCAAAGAUUUAUCGCUGAAAGAUGAGCUCGCGUCUGAUUAGCUAGUUGGUAAGGUAACGGCUUACCAAGGCGACGAUCAGUAGCCGGACUGAGAGGUUGAUCGGCCACAUUGGGACUGAGACACGGCCCAGACUCCUACGGGAGGCAGCAGUGGGGAAUAUUGCACAAUGGAGGAAACUCUGAUGCAGCGAUGCCGCGUGAGGGAAGAAGGUUUUAGGAUUGUAAACCUCUGUCUUCAGGGACGAAAAAAGACGGUACCUGAGGAGGAAGCUCCGGCUAACUACGUGCCAGCAGCCGCGGUAAUACGUAGGGAGCGAGCGUUGUCCGGAAUUACUGGGUGUAAAGGGAGCGUAGGCGGGAUCGCAAGUCAGAUGUGAAAAUUAUGGGCUUAACCCAUAAACUGCAUUUGAAACUGUGGUUCUUGAGUGAAGUAGAGGUAAGCGGAAUUCCUAGUGUAGCGGUGAAAUGCGUAGAUAUUAGGAGGAAGAUCAGUGGCGAAGGCGGCUUACUGGGCUUUAACUGACGCUGAGGCUCGAAAGCGUGGGGAGCAAACAGGAUUAGAUACCCUGGUAGUCCACGCCGUAAACGAUGAUUACUAGGUGUGGGGGGACUGACCCCUUCCGUGCCGCAGCAAACGCAAUAAGUAAUCCACCUGGGGAGUACGACCGCAAGGUUGAAACUCAAAGGAAUUGACGGGGGCCCGCACAAGCAGUGGAGUAUGUGGAUUAAUUCGAAGCAACGCGAAGAACCUUACCAGGUCUUGACAUCGUAUGCAUAGCUCAGAGAUGAGUGAAAUCUCUUCGGAGACAUAUAGACAGGUGGUGCAUGGUUGUCGUCAGCUCGUGUCGUGAGAUGUUGGGUUAAGUCCCGCAACGAGCGCAACCCUUACUGUUAGUUGCUACGCAAGAGCACUCUAGCAGGACUGCCGUUGACAAAACGGAGGAAGGUGGGGAUGACGUCAAAUCAUCAUGCCCCUUAUGACCUGGGCCUCACACGUACUACAAUGGCUGUAAACAGAGGGAUGCAAAGCCGCGAGGUGGAGCGAACCCCUAAAAGCAGUCUUAGUUCGGAUUGUAGGCUGCAACCCGCCUACAUGAAGUCGGAAUUGCUAGUAAUCGCAGAUCAGCAUGCUGCGGUGAAUACGUUCCCGGGCCUUGUACACACCGCCCGUCACGCCAUGGGAGUCGGUAACACCCGAAGCCUGUAGUCUAACCGCAAGGAGGACGCAGUCGAAGGUGGGAUUGAUGACUGGGGUG
rnacentral:rRNA from 1 species